GAUGAACGCUGGCGGCGUGCCUAAUACAUGCAAGUCGAGCGAACGGACGAGAAGCUUGCUUCUCUGAUGUUAGCGGCGGACGGGUGAGUAACACGUGGAUAACCUACCUAUCAGACUGGGAUAACUUCGGGAAACCGGAGCUAAUACCGGAUAAUAUUUUGAACCGCAUGGUUCAAAAGUGAAAGACGGUCUUGCUGUCACUUAUAGCUGGAUCCGCGCUGCAUUAGCUAGUUGGUAAGGUAACGGCUUACCAAGGCAACGAUGCAUAGCCGACCUGAGAGGGUGAUCCGCCACACGGGAACUGAGACACGGCACAGACUCCUACGGGAGGCAGCAGUAGGGAAUCUUCCGCAAAGGGCGAAAGCCUGACGGAGCAACGCCGCGUGAGUGAUGAAGGUCUUCGGAUCGGAAAGCUCUGUUAUUAGGGAAGAACAUAUGUGUAAGUAACUGUGAACAUCUUGACGGUACCUAAUCAGAAAGCCACGGCUAACUACGUG
rnacentral:rRNA from 1 species